rnacentral:rRNA from 1 species
GAUGAACGCUAGCGGCAGGCUUAAUACAUGCAAGUCGUGGGGCAGCAUGAGUAGCAAUACUUGAUGGCGACCGGCAAACGGGUGAGGAACACGUACACAACCUUCUUCAAGCGGGAAUAGCCCAGAGAAAUUUGGAUUAAUACCCCAUAAUAUAUUUGAUAAGGCAUCUUAUUAAUAUUAAAGCUUCGGCACUUGAUGAUGGGUGUGCGGCUGAUUAGAUAGUUGGCGGGUAACGGCCCACCAAGUCUACGAUCAGUAGCUGAUGUGAGAGCAUGAUCAGCCACACGGGCACUGAGACACGGGCCCGACUUCCUACGGGAGGCAGCAG